rnacentral:sRNA from 1 species
UUCCCUCAGACGUUCUUUUAGGGUGGCCU